rnacentral:rRNA from 1 species
CCUACGGGAGGCAGCAGUGAGGAAUAUUGGUCAAUGGCCGUAAGGCUGAACCAGCAAAGUCGCGUGAAGGAAGAAGGAUCUAUGGUUUGUAACCUUCUUUUAUAGGGGAAUAAAGGUAUCCACGUGUGGAUGUUUGAAUGUACCCUAUGAAUAAGCAUCGGCUAACUCCGUGCCAGCAGCCGCGGUAAUACGGAGGAUGCGAGCGUUAUCCGGAUUUAUUGGGUUUAAAGGGUGCGUAGGUUGUUUUUUAAGUCAGCUGUGAAAGUUUGUGGCUCAACCAUAAAAUUGCCGUUGAAACUGGAAGACUUGAGUGUGUUUGAGGUAGGCGGAAUGCGGGGUGUAGCGGUGAAAUGCAUAGAUAUCACGCAGAACUCCGAUUGCGAAGGCAGCUUACUAAGCCAUAACUGACACUGAAGCACGAAAGCGUGGGGAUCAAACAGGAUUAGAUACCCGAGUAGUC